AACGAACGCUGGCGGCAUGCCUAACACAUGCAAGUCGAACGAGAGCUUCGGCUCUAGUGGCGCACGGGUGCGUAACGCGUGGGAAUCUGCCCUUGGGUUCGGAAUAACAGUUGGAAACGACUGCUAAUACCGGAUGAUGACGUAAGUCCAAAGAUUUAUCGCCCUGGGAUGAGCCCGCGUCGGAUUAGCUAGUUGGUGGGGUAAAGGCUUACCAAGGCGACGAUCCGUAGCUGGUCUGAGAGGAUGAUCAGCCACACUGGGACUGAGACACGGCCCAGACUCCUACGGGAGGCAGCAGUGGGGAAUAUUGGACAAUGGGCGCAAGCCUGAUCCAGCAAUGCCGCGUGAGUGAUGAAGGCCUUAGGGUUGUAAAGCUCUUUUACCUGGGAAGAUAAUGACUGUACCGGGAGAAUAAGCCCCGGCUAACUCCGUGCCAGCAGCCGCAGUAA
rnacentral:rRNA from 1 species